GGGGGUGUCACGGUUUCGACGGGGGUACGGAAGACGAGAGUGGCGUGUCGCGGGGGUCGACCAACCGUGUCAAAAAAUGGACGACGAAACACAGCUGCCAACGACAGCAACUACGGCCGCCUGGCCGCCGUCGCCUAACGGUGACGCACCUUCGUUCGAGGAGCCCGAGUAGGGCGAGGGUGUCGAUACACGGGCUAGCCGAGGUGUAGAUCCCGACGCCAAGGUGAAGCUCAGGGAUUGGAGACCGAGAUCGCGUGUCGGUGCGCGUGCUCGGGAUCGAGAUCAAGUCCACCGACUACGCACGUAGAAGCUCCGUUAGAAGGCCUUCGGACCCGGGUUCGACUCCCGGCGCCUCCACCA
rnacentral:tmRNA from 1 species